rnacentral:rRNA from 1 species
CAGUCGCCACGGUAAUACGAAGGGUGCAAGCGUUACUCGGAAUUACUGGGCGUAAAGCGUGCGUAGGCGGUUUGUUAAGUCUGUUGUGAAAUCCCCGGGCUCAACCUGGGAAUGGCAAUGGAUACUGGCAAGCUAGAGUGUGUCAGAGGAUGGUGGAAUUCCCGGUGUAGCGGUGAAAUGCGUAGAGAUCGGGAGGAACAUCAGUGGCGAAGGCGGCCAUCUGGGACAACACUGACGCUGAGGCACGAAAGCGUGGGGAGCAAACAGGAUUAGAUACCCGGGUAGUCCCUGUCUCUUAUAA